rnacentral:rRNA from 1 species
UACGAAGGGGGGCUAGCGUUGCUCGGAAUCACUGGGCGUAAAGGGUGCGUAGGCGGGUCUUUUAAGUCAGGGGUGAAAUCCUGGAGCUCAACUCCAGAACUGCCUUUGAUACUGAAGAUCUUGAGUUCGGGAGAGGUGAGUGGAACUGCGAGUGUAGAGGUGAAAUUCGUAGAUAUUCGCAAGAACACCAGUGGCGAAGGCGGCUCACUGGCCCGAUACUGACGCUGAGGCGCGAAAGCGUGGGGAGCAAACAGG